GGAAGCUUUUCCAACUUUUUCUCGAUCCCAGCGUUGGCUUGCGAAAGCUCACUUAAAUUCUGAGAUUGAAGAAGAAGCCCUUCUCUCCUUUUCUUAAGAAGACUAUCCUCUCUCUUACUCUUCCUAAUCUCAACCAAAUUGUCCUCUCUCCUUCGGCGAGCUUCGUCCCCAUCGACACCACUCUUGUAGGAUUUCUUUCGUGCCUCAGUACGCGAACUGGGUCUCAGAGACAUUGCUCUUUGUCUAUCUAAAACUGACCGUAUCGUUGUUCCUUUGCGCGUAUUCGAUGAAAGUACUCGGUUGAAGUGACCCAAGGAUUGAAGUCCCAACUCCCAGCAAAGAGAAAGAGGUGGACAACAAUUUUGUGCAAUGAAUUAUGAGAAGCACAUGGAGGCAAGGGCGUUGCUGUUGUUGGGUACUCAAUUACCGGUUAAAGGGUUAUACUUUCGUAUGCGGAAAAGACUAAUUAAGUGGGUUUAAGCCUUUUUGUUAGGGAUCUAUGGCAAUCACA
rnacentral:misc_RNA from 1 species